CGUGACAAGCGAGACGAGACCAGGCGGAGCGAGGGUAUCAGCGAAAUUAUUCGACGACCGAGUAACUUUAUCGUGUUUGCGCUGUCGUCCUUAGUUAAAACGUUCUGUCUACUAAUUUACCAGUUUUCAGGAUAUUUUGAAAUAUUUGGAACGUCGCACGCCUUUUACCUUUUUGGCGAAGCUAGAAUAUUCUAUCUUCUACUUCGUGGAGUUCCAAAUACACGUGCGUGUAACACUUGGACGCGUAUACCGAAAGAAGAGGUUAUGUUACAGUACGAAUAGAAAAGGAGUAGAUGGCGCAAGGGUGCGGCUUUAGGAUCAGUUCCUAAUAAGACAGAUUGUAUCUUUUUGAACUGAAAUACUAAAUUCUAUGCAGUUUUAUGAUCUACAUUUUGUGUGGAUUUUAGCUGUUUUCUUGCUCUUAUUUUAUUUUGUAGAGAACAUGUUGUACUCCUCCAAAGUAAAAUAUUAAAUGAAACAGAAGUUUACCAUUUUCA